rnacentral:rRNA from 1 species
GUCUUAACUGUCUCUCACAGAUAAUCAGUGAAAUUGAUCUCCCCGUGCAAAAGCRGGGAUGUGAACAUAAGACGAGAAGACCCUGUGGAACUUAAAAAUCAACGCCACCGCGAACCUAAGACUAAACCCACCGGGACCACAAACACGCAGAGCUGGCCGAUAUUUUUCGGUUGGGGCGACCUUGGAGAAUAACAAAUCCUCCAAAAACAAGACCACACCCUCUUUACUUAGAGCCACCCCUCAAAGUGCUAAUAGUGACCAGACCCAAUAUAAGUUGAUUAAUGGACCAAGCUACCCCAGGGAUAACAGCGCAAUCCCCCUCAAGAGCCCCUAUCGACAGGGGGGUUUACGACCUCGAUGUUGGAUCAGGACAUCCUAAUGGUGCAGCCGCUAUUAAGGGUUCGUUUGUUCAACGAUUAAUUAGUCCUACGUGAUCUGAG